GACGAACGCUGGCGGCGUGCUUAACACAUGCAAGUCGAACGGAGCGAAUGAAAGCUUGCUUUUAUGAGCUUAGUGGCAAACGGGUGAGUAACACGUAGACAACCUGCCGAUCAGAUGGGGACAACAUUCCGAAAGGAAUGCUAAUACCGAAUGGCGUGUAGGGAAGGCAUCUUCCCUACAUGAAAGAUGGCCUCUAUAUAUAAGCUAUCACUGAUCGAUGGGUCUGCGUCUGAUUAGCUAGUAGGUAAGGUAACGGCUUACCUAGGCGACGAUCAGUAGCCGGUCUGAGAGGAUGAACGGCCACAUUGGGACUGAGACACGGCCCAGACUCCUACGGGAGGCAGCAGUGGGGAAUCUUCCGCAAUGGGCGCAAGCCUGACGGAGCAACGCCGCGUGAGUGAAGAAGGUCUUCGGAUCGUAAAGCUCUGUUGAAGGGGACGAACGUACAUAGUGCGAAUAGUGCUGUGUAAUGACGGUACCUUUGA
rnacentral:rRNA from 1 species